GAGCUUUGAAAAUCAGCCUGUCUUGAGGAGAUGCUGGAAGAUAGUAUCAGAAGCUGAGAAGUGUAUCUGCUUUUCCUCCUUGCACACAGAUGUAGGGAAGAGAGAUUACAGUGACAUGAAUCAUGAGACCAAAAGAAGAAGAAGGAAAACACUUACAUGGGCUGUAAGUUUCUCUUGGGAGGCUUUUACCUCAGCCUGUAGCUUCUUGAUGCACUGGAAAGGAGAAGGGGAUACAGAGCAAUGCCUACCUCUUCAUAGUCCAAGUGUCCCACAGGAGCUGGAGAGAUGGCUCAGGGAUUAAAAGCACUGGCUGCACUUCCAGAUGGCACAGCUCAAUUCUAAGUACUCUCAUGGCAAUUCACAACUUUAUAUAAUUCCAGAGGAUCUCACACAUUCUUUUGGACUUCAAGGACACAUCUAUGUAGUGUACGGA